UGGGGAAUUUUGGACAAUGGGCGCAAGCCUGAUCCAGCCAUGCCGCGUGCGGGAAGAAGGGCCUUCGGGUUGUAAACCGCUUUUGUCAGGGAAGAAAUCUUCUGAGUUAAUACCUCGGGAGGAUGACGGUACCUGAAGAAUAAGCACCGGCUAACUACGUGCCAGCAGCCGCGGUAAUACGUAGGGUGCAAGCGUUAAUCGGAAUUACUGGGCGUAAAGCGUGCGCAGGCGGUUUUGUAAGACAGAGGUGAAAUCCCCGGGCUCAACCUGGGAACUGCCUUUGUGACUGCAAGGCUUGAGUGCGGCAGAGGGGGGAUGGAAUUCCGCGUGUAGCGUGAAAUGCGUAGAUAUGCGGAGGAACACCGAUGGCGAAGGCAAUCCCCCUGGGCCUGCACUGACGCUCAUGCACGAAAGCGUGGGGAGCAAACAGGAUUAGAUACCCUGGUAGUCCACGCCCUAAACGAUGUCAACUGGUUGUUGGGAAGGUUCCUUCUCAGUAACGUAGCUAACGCGUGAAGUUGACCGCCUGGGGAGUACGGCCGCAAGGUUGAAACUCAAA
rnacentral:rRNA from 1 species